rnacentral:rRNA from 1 species
AGCGAACGCUGGCGGCAGGCCUAACACAUGCAAGUCGAACGAACUCUUCGGAGUUAGUGGCGGACGGGUGAGUAACACGUGGGAACGUGCCUUUAGGUUCGGAAUAACUCAGGGAAACUUGUGCUAAUACCGAAUGUGCCCUUCGGGGGAAAGAUUUAUCGCCUUUAGAGCGGCCCGCGUCUGAUUAGCUAGUUGGUGAGGUAACGGCUCACCAAGGCGACGAUCAGUAGCUGGUCUGAGAGGAUGGCCAGCCACACUGGGACUGAGACACGGCCCAGGCUCCUACGGGAGGCAGCAGUGGGGAAUCUUGCGCAAUGGGCGAAAGCCUGACGCAGCCAUGCCGCGUGAAUGAUGAAGGUCUUAGGAUUGUAAAAUUCUUUCACCGGGGACGAUAAUGACGGUACCCGGAGAAGAAGCCCCGGCUAACUUCGUGCCAGCCGCCGCAGUAA